CCGAGUUUACACUCCCAAACCCCUGUGAACAUACCAAUUGUUGCCUCGGCGGAUCAGCCCGCUCCCGGUAAAACGGGACGGCCCGCCAGAGGACCCCUAAACUCUGUUUCUAUAUGUAACUUCUGAGUAAAACCAUAAAUAAAUCAAAACUUUCAACAACGGAUCUCUUGGUUCUGGCAUCGAUGAAGAACGCAGCAAAAUGCGAUAAGUAAUGUGAAUUGCAGAAUUCAGUGAAUCAUCGAAUCUUUGAACGCACAUUGCGCCCGCCAGUAUUCUGGCGGGCAUGCCUGUUCGAGCGUCAUUUCAACCCUCAAGCCCCCGGGUUUGGUGUUGGGGAUCGGCGAGCCCUUGCGGCAAGCCGGCCCCGAAAUCUAGUGGCGGUCUCGCUGCAGCUUCCAUUGCGUAGUAGUAAAACCCUCGCAACUGGUACGCGGCGCGGCCAAGCCGUUAAACCCCCAACUUCUGAAUGUUGACCUCGGAUCAGGUAGGAAUACCCGCUGAACUUAAGCAUAUCAAUAGCGGAGGAA
rnacentral:rRNA from 1 species